CUGUACUUCACGGAGGGCAAGGGUUAUACCCUAUUUUUUCCCAGUCUCCCACAGUGCCCAACCCAGACGACCGUACAUAAUAAGCGCUUUAUUCUCAGCACUGCUGUAUGCCUCAUUGGAACAGGAUGCCCAAGGUGAUGGCUGCAGAAAUGGAUGGAUUGGAGCGUGACUUGCCAAGACAGGGCUGCUGUAACAAACUACUACAAACUUUGCCGCUUAAAAACAGAAAUGGCUUCCCUCACAGUUUCUGGAAGUCCAAGGUCCGGCAGGAUUGUGCUCCCCCUAGGAACCCUAAGGGAAGAUGCGUUCCUGGCCACCUCCAGCUCUGGUGGCUGCCUGGCUGCUUUCCUGUGCCUGAUAUCACAUCACCCCAUUAUCUGCCUCCGUUUUCACAUCGCUUUCUCCUCUUGUGUCUCUCCAAUCUCCUUCUGCCUCCCUCUUCUAAGAACACUUAUCAUCGGAUUUAUGACCCACUC
rnacentral:lncRNA from 10 species